rnacentral:lncRNA from 1 species
CUAAAGAGCUUGCUUGUGUCCUGACUUCUCGAUGACUCCAUUCGAGACUUUGCCCCCUGGCUUCUCACUGUGGAAGGUGAGGACUUAGCUCUCAAACCUGGCCCCGCCCCCAGAGCUGUUGUAACUUCUGUGGGAUCAAUAUUCAGUGUUGAUACGACGACGCUAACUGGAAACGGGGUGUGCUGCUCAUGCGCGGUCUCCUCCCAUGACUUCCCCUCCUGCCUCUCCUUUUGUUCUCUUUGAAGUUAGUAAUUGCCUUGUUUUCCCUGGGCUGUGUUGUCUCUGUGCUUCCCACCAGCUCAACCUCAACACUUUGCUAAUUGUCUAAAUCGCCUUUCCAAGUACUCAGACCCAACCGGGAGGACAUCUAUCAAGUUUGCCUGUCGGAAGGAAGGCGUCUCUCCCAGAACAGGCUAACAUAGCUUGCCAAGCGGUGCCAUGUCCGCACCCGGGACCCGAACCGGCCAACCCCAGGCCGCCAAAGUGGAACGUGCGCACUAACCACGGUGCCACCGUGCCAGCCCCUAGGAGAAGCCCUUUGAAGCUCUUGACAAUCCAAAGGGAAGAGCUUGAGAGGAGCACAGCAUGGAGUUUACGCCACAACCGUGUGUAUGACAUAGAAUGGAGAAGGAGCAGCAAAUGCUGCAUACAUCCACCAGAGAUGAGAGUCAUCAUGGCUGGAGGGAAGUGGAGACGGUGAUGGGCAUGGAAGAGACACUGAGGAGAGGACCACACCUG